rnacentral:sRNA from 1 species
UAUCUAAACCAAAUUGAAAAUAUAUAUCCAAACCAAAAUGAAAUGAAAAAAUUGUUUCUAGUGGAAGCCCCAUUAGACCAAUGAUUGAUGUAGGGUUAAUUCAUGCUUCUAUUCAAGGCAUGCGGUUUGAGUUCUAGACAUUGCAAUUUAUUAACAAAAUUGUAGAUUAAUGAAAGCAAGUGUACAAAAGAUCUCUAACGAUGUACAAUUGAGCCGUUCACCGUGAUUCUAUGCAGAAAGGAAAGUGUAGUCAUGUCAUGGAUGAGCAAUUCUAAA